AGCACCAAAGCUCCGUUCUAGAAAACUUUUCCCCAGAGACUCAUGGGAUUAAUUUAGGCUCUAUGAGAGACUGGAUCAAAGUUACAAAGAGUUCACUGCUGAGCUAGGAAGAGUGGACUAGAUCCUCAAAGGCUUCCAGAAGGGACCGAUCUAAAGCCAUGAAGCAGAGCAGCCUUGACAGAGAGGUUCUUGCGUGGAUCAGAAGGCUGAAGCUGUUGGCCUCACCUCGUCAGUCGAAGCGUUCCCAGUCUGGGUUUUCUCUGGAGCUGUGGUUGGAGGAGGUGACAGCUAUGUGGAUGUGUAGCAGCAGGAAACAUUUGGCUGAUUGAGCAGCAUUUUGCAUUUCACUUUGAAGAAGUUUGUCUACUGUUAACAAGAUAGCAACUCUUAGUUUGGAAACCCCAACUCCUAGUGGUCUGUUCAUACUUGUAGGCUUCUGUAGGAGUGCUGUAUGCUCUUUUGGA